UUAGUUGAAACCAAACCAGAGGUCUGCCACUGUUAAUGGCACCAUUGUCUUAAUUAGCCCAACUAAA
rnacentral:tRNA from 1 species